CGGUAAUUCCAGCUCCAAUAGCGUAUACUAAAGUUGUUGCAGUUAAAAAGCUCGUAGUUGGAUUUCUGCGGGGACGGAGCGGCCGGUCGCAACUUGCGACUCGAGCUAGCGCUUUCCCCGCAUCCUGCCGCGAACCGUGCUACCAUUAGUUUGGUGGCGCUGGGGAUCGGCUCGAUUACUUUGAGAAAAAUAGAGUGUUCAAAGCAGGCCACACGCCUUGAAUAAGUUAGCAUGGAAUAAUGACUAAGGACUUCGGUUCUAUUUUGUUGGUGUUCGGGACUGAAGUAAUGAUUGAUAGGGACAGUUGGGGCGGUCUGUAUUCCAAAGCGAGAGGUGAAAUUCUUAGACCUUCGGAAGACAAACAGCUGCGAAAGCGUUCCGCAAGGAUGUUCCCUUUGAUCAAGAACGAAAGUUGGGGGAUCGAAGACGAUCAGAUACCGUCGUAGUCUCAACUAUAAACUAUACCAGCUAGGGAUCGGUCAACGUUUAAUUAUUCGACUUGAUCGGCACCUUAUGAGAAAUCAAGGCAUCUGGGUUCCGGGGGGAGUAUGGUCGCAAGGCUGAAACUUAAAGGAAUUGACGGAAGGGCACCACCAGCCGUGGAGCCUGUGGCUUAAUUUGACUCAACACGGGAAAACUUACCAGGUCCAGACAUAGUAAGGAUUGACAGAUUGAUAGCUCUCUCUUGAUUCUGUGGGUGGUGGUGCAUGGCCGUUCUUAGUUGGUGGAGUGAUUUGUCUGGUUAAUUCCGUUAACGAACGAGACCCCAGCCUGCUAAAUAGCGCGGCUGAGCUUUGCUCGGUGCGAGCUUCUUAGAGGGACUAUGAUGCGCGAUAGCACAUGGAAGUUUGGGGCAAUAACAGGUCUGUGAUGCCCUUAGAUGUUCUGGGCCGCACACGGGCUACACUGGCGCCUGCAACGAGCAUAUCAGCUGGCCCGGGAGGGUCUUGGCUAAUCUUUUGAACCGGCGCCGUGCUUGGGAUUGACCUUUGCAAUUGUUGGUCAUGCAACGAGGAAUGCCUUGUAAACGCGAGUCAUCAGCUCGCAUUGAAUACGUCCCUGCCCUUUGUACACACCGCCCGUCGCUCCUAUCGAUGAAUGUUCCGAUGAAAUUUUCGGAGAGCGCCAGAGAACGGGGCUCUGCCUUGCAGAUCUGGAGGCUCAAAGUCACUUAAAUCUGAACAUUUCGAGGAAGGAGAAGUCGUAACAAGGUAACC
rnacentral:rRNA from 1 species